rnacentral:rRNA from 1 species
UACGAAGGGGGCUAGCGUUGAUCGGAAUCACUGGGCGUAAAGCGCACGUAGGCGGACUCUUAAGUCGGUGGUGAAAUCCUGGAGCUCAACUCCAGAACUGCCUUCGAUACUGAGAGUCUCGAGUCCGGGAGAGGUGAGUGGAACUGCGAGUGUAGAGGUGAAAUUCGUAGAUAUUCGCAAGAACACCAGUGGCGAAGGCGGCUCACUGGCCCGGUACUGACGCUGAGGUGCGAAAGCGUGGGGAGCAAACAGG